rnacentral:lncRNA from 1 species
CCUCACCCUAAAACUUCUCCUGAACUCAGCAUCCCGGAGCACGCGCGGCCCCAAAUCGGGCCCAACUCGGCCCCAAAAUCAGCCCAGAUUCGGCCCCAAAAUCAGCUCAACAAAUUGGUCCCAAUUCGGCCCCAAAUCAGCCCCAAAAUCAGCCCAAAUUUGGCCCCCAAAUCAGGCCCGAAUUCGACCCCAACUUGGCUCCAACUCGGCCCCAAAUCAGCCCAAAUUAGGCACCAAAAUCAGCACCAAAUUCGCCCCCAAAUUCACCCCAAAUUCGCCCCAAAUCAGCCCCAAAUUCGGCCCCAAAUUCUGCCCCAACUUGGCCCCGAAUUCUGCCCCAAAUCAGCCGCAACUCGGCCCCAAAUCAGCCCAAAUUCGGCACCAAAAUCAGCCCCAAAUUCGCCCCAAAUCUGCCCAAAUUCGGCCCCAAAUUCUGCCCCAACUCGGCCCCAAAUUCUGCCCCAACUUGGCCCCGAAUUCUGCCCCAACUUGGCCCCGAAUUCUGCCCUAAAUCAGCCGCAACUCGGCCCCAAAUCAGCCCAAAUUCGGCACCAAAAUCAGCCCCAAAUUCGCCCCAAAUCAGCCCUAACUCGCCCCCGAAUCAGCCCCAAAUUCGGCCCCAAAUUCUGCCCCAACUCGACCCCAAAUUCUGCCCCAAAUCACCCCCAACUCGGCCCCAAAUCCUCCCCAAAACGACCCCGCGCGGCUCCUCUGCUCAGCCCCUUCCCCAGGCGGGGGAACCUGGAGGGGACCCCCACUCCCAUCCCCGGUUCCCCCCCGGCACCUCCCGCUCUGCCGCCAUCCUGGAACUCUCCCCGGUCUCUGCCGCGCUCCUCAGGGCCCCUCCAGGCGGAAUUUGAGGCUGGGGGGCACGGGGAUGGCGCUGCCCCCCAGGUGCCAUCGCCACAGCGGGUGAGUCUUGGACAGCGCCCACGAGUUUUUCCCUCCCAGCGACGAAGCCGGGCACAAAUCCCCGUCCUCGCCCACCACCAGCGAGGGCGUGCAGGGGAAAUUGCCCAUGAGGCUGAAGGAAUUCCGAGGCGGGCUGCUUUUGCAGGGAGUGUUUCCCUUCCUGGAAUUCCUCCUGGGAGUUUUCGGCCGCCUGUUUUUGGAGGAGUCGCGUUGCUUUUCGGUGACCCUGGAGAGGCGCCGGCGUUUGGCGUUGCCGUCCCGGCGGCUCCGCAGCGCCGGGGGGCUCUGGGCUCCUCCGCGGGGUUGGAACCGCAGCUCCUCUCCCCUCCAGGGCUCCGGGCCGUCCCUGCCGUGUCUCAAACCUUUCCCGUCCAGGUUGAAACCCUUGGCGUAGCACCACAGCUUGGACUGGCGGAUCAGGCGGUCAAAGUGCUCCGGCCGCGGUUCCCCGGGAGCAGCGGGGCCGGGGCUCCCCCGCAGCUCCGGGGCCGCUUGUGA